rfam:Bifidobacterium stellenboschense strain DSM 23968 Contig01, whole genome shotgun sequence.
CCGAAUAAUCCCUUUACAACGGAUCGUGAGGCACGUACCUGCCUCUGAAAGGAUUGAACA